GGCGGGUCCCCCCUUUUCUUUCUCUUCCCCCCCUCACUUCCUCAGGGCUUGGGGCCCCGGGCGCCCCCCUUCGGAGCCCCGCCGCCCCGAGAAGCCCAAUGGCCUCAUGGGGGGGGGGGGUCUGUGGAGAGGCCGAGAGGCGGAGCGAGCAGCCGGGAAGACUGUUGCUACUGGUGGUGCUGCUGCGGGUCGCUCAAGGGCUCAUCCGGGUGGAGGAGGAGAGGCGAAAUCUCACACUGCUAAGGGCGCCCGGGCUCCUCUGUUCUUCUUCCUCUUCUUCCUCUAGGGAUGACCUUGCAAAAGUCUCGGGAGAGAGGGAAGGCGCGCUUUCAACUCUCCUCCGCGGCUCCUUCUGCUUCUCCAGGCCGCUGCAAGGGCAAAGCCUUGGAGGCGCAGAGAGAAAGAGAGGUCCUCUGCAGCGCCCGGCUUCUCCUCCUUCUCGGUCUCCUCCUCCUCCACGUGGGUCUCGCUCCAGUCGGUUUCCUGCCCGGGCUGGGGAAGCGCAGCACGUCCGCUCAGAGUCUGGCGCACUUACGAAGCGCCUUGCUAGGAUCAAGAGGAUGGGAUGGGAAGCAGCCAGCCCUUCCUGCCCGGAGUCCUUCUCCGGCAGAGAGAGUGAGGAGCAGAGGCGAAGAAGUUUGCUCCUCCGCAGGGCACCCCUCCUUCUCUCUUUCUCCCUCCCUCCUCGGAGGAAAAGGGAAGAAGGCAAGGGGACUCCGGCUGACUUUCCCAGAAAGGGAGGGAGAGGGGGCGUGGCCUCGUUGGGCAUAGCCCCGCCCCCUUGUUUACAUAUCGAGGUGACGCGUUGCAGGGCGCACGUGGCCAAUGCGCCAGCGGCGGAAUGCCCAGAGCAGUGUGGCCAAGGGACGAAGUUGGACUAACAACACUAUGUCGAUGUGCUCACUCCAGACCUCUCUGGAAAUUCACCACCAUCAUUCGGAUCAAUCCUUGGCUGUAUGAUUUUUUCCGUGACAGAAAUGACUUGAGAACUACUAAAUAGAAUAGAAUUUCAAUUUUACAUACAUACUGAUUUUUUUUUAAUUGUGUCAGAAGCGACUUGAGAAGCUACUGCCAGUUGCUUCUGGUGUGAGAGAACUGGCCAUCUUUGCCCAGGGGAUGUGUUACUAUCUGCUGGGAGGCUUCUCUCAUGUCCCUGCAAGCUAGAGCUGACAGACAGGAGCUCACCCCAUGUCGCAGAUUCGAAGUGGCAACCUUCAGGUCACCAACCCAACCUUCAGAUUAGCAGCCCAGCCAACACAAGGCUUUAACUCAUUGUGCCACCACAGCUCCCUUAUACUGAUGAAGCUUUUUCAAUAUUUUUGAAGCUUCUUUCUAUUUUUGUUUUCCUUGAAACAGAAAUGAGUGUGGGGUAGAGAUUUACUUUUCAAUUUCACAGAAUAGGCUUUAGUUAAGUAGACUCUCUCUCUGUCACCCAAAACAGGGCUUUCUUAUUAUCUGGCCUCCCAGGUAAGAGAAAGGCAUAGCACACUCAUUAUUUCCAGUUUUGCUGAAGAUACAAGGCACACACUGCUUGAGCAGGGAAAGUAAUCAUACAAAAAGCCAUGUGUUUAUUGCUGUGGAUUCAUAUAUGGUUUGCAGCAUAGGGGCAACCCUGUCCCUUUUAAUCGUUGCUGUACCCCAUGUUUGUUUAAUCCAGGUAACUGGCUGGCAGAUGAACCCGUCUUGUGAUCUUUUGCAAGCACAGAGCACAACUCUGACUGCAAAGUUCCUCUGCAUUCCCUGCAAGAGAUGACAUAAUGCUGUGGCAAAUUAGAGAAGCCGGUGCUUGCGGGCAUCACUCUGGAUCAGGGCACCCGGCAGCACUGCAGAUAAAGUCUUGUAACUUCAGUGCAGCUGUAGGUCAUGUUGUUUCUUGCAUGCUAACUGGCUUUCUCCUGUCAAUCACCGGCUUGCUUUGUACCGUUCUUCCUUCCCUCCUGACCCUGCUGCAUCUCCUCCGCACUCUUGAAAGCAGCGUUCCAGAUGUAUUGGACUUCAUACACCAGCUGGAAACAAUGCAGCUCAAGGGCACCAGGUUACAGAUAUUCCCCUUUGCAUUAGAGCAGGAAUACUUGCCUGUUCUAUUGCCCUGACUUUGCUCAUCUUUCAAAAGGGGUUUUUUAAGGAAACAAUCCAAAUUGCACUGUUUGUGUCUGACAUCAUACUGAAGACCAGGGUUAAUACAAAACGUGCUCUAGCAUGGUGGCAUCAUCAUCAUCAUCCCAGGGAAUAAAAAAAUCUGAGUUUGUUAAACAAACAGAUUCACGCAAGUCCACAACAUCACCAUUUGGAAAUUAGCAGAUGGGAAAAGCUGAAGCAGGAACAACCAACUAGCUCUUAAUGUGUGCUCAGAAGCUACUGUGACAAUGGCAGUCGCUGCAGAUUUCCUCUCUCUUGUCUGCCUAUUUUGCAUCAUAACAAUAUUUGAGUGGAAUCACAUUCAGAUCUAGGAGCAGUUUUAACAUAAAUUGCCAUUGAAAAUAUUUGCCAUGUCAGGAUUUUGCGAUAGAUGAAUACAUGCUUUAAUUUGUUGUGGCUGCAUGUUUACAGUCUUUUCAGUCAUCUGAGAACUUACUACACUGACAGUGUCUUUAUUCCCUAUGGUUAUUAACAGCAGUACUUUUAGAAUGCUGCUAGUGGUUUGAUGCCAAAUUGGGUAUCGAAAAUAUUUCAUUGGGAAAUAUAGAUAAUGGCAAUGCCAUAUACCCUUCCUCUGGUAAGAACUUUUGCAGCAAAGUCACCAUUCGACUGGGCAAUUGCCCAUGCUAGGUACAAAAAAUCAGGCUCAAGGGCCCUCAUGGAUGGGGUGGAGAAUUACCUACAAAGCUAUAUUACAUGUUGAACAGCAAUGGUUAAUUUUGGGUCUUCUAAAAUAUGAUUGAAAUGAUACUUUACAUUUCAAAAUGAGACCAAUUUUUCUCAUUCUUUUUUACACUGAAACAGUACUUACACUGACUUGUGGAUAAGCAAACCCCCAGGUUUUUGGGGUCUGUUUUUGACUUAAAAUUAUGGACUUCUACAUGAGCAUUUACAGUAUGUCAUAAACAACAGAAAUUGUUCUUUCACAAAAAUUGUUAUCAUGUCUAUUCAAGAAAGGAAAAGUCAGCAAAUUUUGGGAGAUACAAUACUGCUAAUACUUCCUUAACUUCACUUUAAUAAGAGUCCUGUGCCCCUAAUUCCAGUGAACAUGUUUUGGAGGAACUACAUUUUGGAAAGAAGUGAUCACAGAAGGAAAUUUGGUUUUGGAAUGUCAGGGAUUAUUUACCUGUGUCUUGGAAAUUAUAGCAAACAGAAGUAUAUUUUUGUACUCUUUCAGUUGCUAAAAGACUGCUAUUUUGUUACUUUUUCAUGUCAGAAGUGGCUUGAGAAACUGCAAGUCGCUUCUGGUGUGAGAGAAUUGGCCGUCUGGAAGGAUGUUGUCCAGGGAACACCCGGAUGUUUUUACCAUCCUUGUGGGAGGCUUCUCUCAUGUCCCCGCAUUAGGAACUGGAGCUGACAUAGGGAGCUCAUCCAUGCUGUCCCCAGGUUGGAUUCGAAUCGGCAAUCUUCAGGUCAGCAUCCCAACCUUCAAGUCAUCAGCCCUGCCGGCACAAGGGUUUAACCCAUUGCACCACCAGGGGCUCCUUAUUUUGUUACUAAAAAAAUAUAUUUCCCCAUCUGUGAUCCAAUGGAUAGAACAUCUAACAAUGUUUGCAAGACCUGAAAAAAUGAAGCAUAGCUGAAAUUUAUAAAUGGACAUAUUUGGACGUUUAGUCAGCUUUUAUAGAGACUACCAACUAAUGUGGUUAUUUUAGCUCCUUUCAUGUUUUUAUUUUAUGGCUUUUGUUACACUGGAACAUUAUUGCAUAUAACUGAGAUCCCUUUUGAAGGUAAACAUCUAUUUUUAAUGUUAUUCCUCCACAUUUGUAGUUUUGACUUUUGCAGAUUUGAUUAUUCACGAAUUAAAAAAUCUUCUCUCUAGCAAUCUCUAGGUCCUCUAAUGUGAGUCUAUGAUCAGCUUCCAACAGAAGUUGACCAUACAGUCAUGCUGGAGGACGCAGAAAUUCCUAGAAAGAUGUUUUCUCGUGUUCAAAAAUGCCUUUAUUUGCAUUUUCCACAUUCACAAGGGUCCUGUGCUCCUAUCCUCAGUGAAUGUGGAGUAAUUUAAAAUAAAAAUCCAAUAAGCACUUCUGUUAGUAAAGUGGGACAUUAACAUGAAUGGCCUAGAUACAGAGGUCACAUUGGAUAACUAGUAUUGAUUGAAGAACAUUUCACUAUGGGAUGGUUCAACCUGGUAAUACUCCAAGCCAACCAACCAAAAUAGCAUGGUACUAUCGGCUUUCUUUUUCCCCCUGCUUCAUAAGAGGAAUACCUAUCAUUUUUCGUGCUGCAGCCUGAGAUCUUUCUGCAGCAAGUAUGCUCUAAUCCAGGGGUCCUCAAACUUUUAAAGCAGAGGGCUGGUCCACAAUCCUUCAGACUGUUGAGGGGCCAAAUGAUCAUUUAAAGAAAAAAAAAUGAACAAAUUCCUAUGCACACUGCAUAUGUCUUAUUUGUAGUGCAAAAAGAACAACAACAACAACAACAACAAAAGAAAAAUACAAUAUUUAAAAAUAAAAACCAACUCAAACCUAUCAGGAUUUCAAUGGGACGUGUGGACCUGCUUCUGGCCAACAAGAUAGUCAAGUUAAUUAGGAUUAUUGUUGUUGUCAAGUCAUUUCAGAUUUUGGGCGAGCCUAAGUCAAAAAUUUAUUUAUUAUUUAUUUAUUUAUUUACUACAUUUAUAUCCUGUCCUUCUCACCCCGAAGGGGACUCAGAGCGGCUUACAAUUUAUAUCUAUAUAUUAUAUAUUACGGUAUAUUAUUAGCAUAGAACAAUAUUAGCAUUAUAUAUUACUAUAUUGAAUUAUACCACUAUAUUGUAAUAAUAUUAGUAAUAUUACAUGUAAUAUAUAAUAUACAAUUAAUAUUAUUAUAUGGUAUUAUUAUUAGUAUUACAUUGUAUUACAUUAUAAUAUUUCUAUCAAUAUUAUAUGUAUAUACA
ensembl:lncRNA